rnacentral:rRNA from 1 species
CGUAGGGUGCAAGCGUUAAUCGGAAUUACUGGGCGUAAAGCGUGCGCAGGCGGUUAUAUAAGACAGUUGUGAAAUCCCCGGGCUCAACCUGGGAACUGCAUCUGUGACUGUAUAGCUAGAGUACGGUAGAGGGGGAUGGAAUUCCGCGUGUAGCAGUGAAAUGCGUAGAUAUGCGGAGGAACACCGAUGGCGAAGGCAAUCCCCUGGACCUGUACUGACGCUCAUGCACGAAAGCGUGGGGAGCAAACAGGAUUAGAUACCCUGGUAGUCCACGCCCUAAACGAUGUCAACUGGUUGUUGGGUCUUCACUGACUCAGUAACGAAGCUAACGCGUGAAGUUGACCGCCUGGGGAGUACGGCCGCAAGGUUG